rnacentral:sRNA from 1 species
GUUUCUUCUUCUUCUUAACCGUUUUCCCUCCAUAU